UCUCAGGAUAGGACGACAGGUGACGUGACUCUGGAACCCUGCCUGACCAAAAGUGUGAUCAGCUCUCAAAACUGACUUCCUCUCGUGACUGACAGGAAGAAAAGUGUUCCCAAAGACACAUGAGUGGCAGGAUGGGUGUCCGUGAACCAGAAACGCCAUCAUUUGGUGAUGAAUGACCAGAGAACUGAGGUUUAAAUCCUGCAUAGUCGUAGGUUGUUGAUUAUCUGGCUUCACCAUUUGGAAAAAUCAAGAUCACUCAUUAUGUCUCCGUACCCGCCGUGAUGUCACCCGUGAGUUGGAGCAGGCCUGUCAGCCAGGUUGUGCUCAACGUGAUCCCCAGGUGUUGGCCGUCUUUCCUGUGGGUGCCGUGUGAGGUGACAUCACUGCUGGACUCUGCUGUGAACCUGCCACCGUCUGCCUGUUAUGUGGCCUGUGUUGGCAACACAUGCGUAGGUUUCCCGUAAUAUGCUCAAUACCCAGACUCAUGAGUAGACUUGUAGUUCUCAAAACCACUUUUUUGUGUUCUUGGACUCGGAUAAUUGAGAUGCCGUUGCACACCAAGGUGACAGAAUCUUGA